rnacentral:rRNA from 1 species
UAGGGAAUCUUCCGCAAUGGACGCAAGUCUGACGGAGCAACGCCGCGUGAGUGAAGAAGGUUUUCGUUUCGUAAAACUCUGUUGUUAGAGAAGAACAGCGCAUAGAGUAACUGUUAUGCGUGUGACGGUAUCUAACCAGAAAGCCACGGCUAACUACGUGCCAGCAGACGCGGUAAUACGUAGGUGGCAAGCGUUGUCCGGAUUUAUUGGGCGUAAAGCGAGCGCAGGCGGUCAAUUAAGUCUGAUGUGAAAGCCCCCGGCUCAACCGGGGAGGGUCAUUGGAAACUGGUUGAAUUGAGUGCAGAAGAGGAGAGUGGAAUUCAAUGUGUAGCGGUGAAAUGCGUAGAUAUAUGGAGGAACACCAGUGGCGAAGGCGACUCUCUGGUCUGUAACUGACGCUGAGGCUCGAAAGCGUGGGUAGCAAACAGG